UACAGGGAAUAACUAUUUAAAACUUAAAAAUUAAAUUUAUUUUAAUUUGUGAAGAAACAAUUAUUAGAAUUAAGGACAAGAAGACCCUAAGAAUUUUAAAAUAAUUAAUUUCUUGCAAGAAAUUAAUUAUUUUUAGUUGGGGCAACUAGAAAAUAUUAUAAACUUUUUUAAUACAAAAUGAUCCAUUAUUAAUGAUAAUUUGGAAAAAAUACUCUAGGGAUAACAGCGUAAUAAUUUUUGACAGAACAUAUAGACAAAAUAGUUUGCGACCUCGAUGUUGGAUUAGGAUACUUUUUUAAUGAAGACGUUAAAAAAAGAAGUUUGUUCAACUUUUAAAGUCCUACUUGAUCU
rnacentral:rRNA from 1 species